GGCAAUGGUGGCAGACAGGGAGCCGAUUCCAGGAAAGAAGGGUGCUCGGAGCAAACACGAGAGUGCCUUUAUGAGAGGUUACUGAGGGGUUAAAUGAGAAGAUGCAGAAGAGCCUGGCCCGGUGCCAGAUACACACUGACCCUCUUCCCAGAUCCCAGCAUGUCUCACACCAGAUCAAGCUGGACUGAGUUCCCUCUCCACUACACAAAGGGAAUUUGGAGUAACUUGCAAUGUCUUGCAUUACUGUGAAAACGGCAACUAACUCAUUUUUCUGAAAGUCUAAAGAAAUUUCAAGUGGGAAACUUGUGCCAUCUGGAAAUGACAGGAAUUCAGUGGAGCUCAACUAAGUAAAAUGAAAAGAGGAGGGAAUCGAAAUGUCUGGAGGUAUUAAAAUUAUGCCCUGGAGUUCCCGUCGUGGCCCAGUGGUUAACGAAUCCAACUAGGAACCAUGAGGUUGUGGGUUCGAUCCCUGCCCUUGCUCAGUGGGUUAAUGAUCCAGCAUUGCCGUGAGCUGUGGUGUAGGUCACAGACGUGGCUCGGAUCCCACGUUGCUGUGGCUCUGGAGUAGGCUGGCAGCUACAGCUCCGAUUCGACCCCUAGCCACAGAAGCGGCCCAAGAAAUGGCAAAAAGACAAAGAAAGAAAAAAUCAUGUCCUGCUUUCACAUACAGUGGAAUAUUACUCAGCCAUAAAAAGAAUGAAAUACUGCCAGCAUUUGUAGCAACAUGGGUGGACCUAGAGAUUAUCAUACUAAGUGAAGUAAGUUAGAAAGAGAAAGACAAAUACCAUGUGAUAUCAC
rnacentral:lncRNA from 1 species